UACGUAGGGUGCAAGCGUUGCCCGGAUUUAUUGGGCGUAAAGAGCUCGUAGGCGGUUCGGUAAGUCGGAUGUGAAAUCUCCACGCUCAACGUGGAGGGGCCAUUCGAUACUGCCGUGACUCGAGUCCGGUAGGGGAGUGUGGAAUUCCCGGUGUAGCGGUGAAAUGCGCAGAGAUCGGGAGGAACACCCGUAGCGAAGGCGGCACUCUGGGCCGGUACUGACGCUGAGGAGCGAAAGCGUGGGGAGCGAACAGG
rnacentral:rRNA from 1 species